GCAAAGGCUCUUUUCAGAGCCACCCAAUUAUUUCAAGGGGAAAAAG
rfam:Sarcophilus harrisii ctg7180002491874, whole genome shotgun sequence.